rnacentral:rRNA from 1 species
UGGGAUGACGUCAAGUCCUCAUGGCCUUUAUGCUUAGGGCUACACACGUGCUACAAUGGGUGGUACAAAGAGAAGCCAACUCGCGAGAGCGCGCCAAUCUCAAAAAGCCAUCCUCAGUUCGGAUUGGAGUCUGCAACUCGACUCCAUGAAGUUGGAAUCGCUAGUAAUCGCGGAUCAGCAUGCCGCGGUCGAAUACGUUCCCGGGCCUU